UACGUAGGGAGCAAGCGUUGUCCGGAAUUAUUGGGCGUAAAGAGCUCGUAGGCGGUUUGUCGCGUCGGCCGUGAAAUCUCCACGCUUAACGUGGAGCGUGCGGUCGAUACGGGCAGACUUGAGUUCGGUAGGGGAGACUGGAAUUCCUGGUGUAGCGGUGAAAUGCGCAGAUAUCGGGAGGAACACCAGCGGCGAAGGCGGCACGUCUGGGCUGGUACUGACGCUGAGGAGCGAAAGCGUGGGUAGCAACAGG
rnacentral:rRNA from 1 species